rnacentral:rRNA from 1 species
AUUGAACGCUGGCGGCAUGCUUUACACAUGCAAGUCGAACGGCAGCGCGGGGCAACCUGGCGGCGAGAGGCGCACGGGUGUGUAAUAUAUCGGAACGUACCCAGAAGUGGGGGAUAACGUAGCGAAAGUUACGCUAAUACCGCAUACGAUCUACGGAUGAAAGUAGGGGACCGCAAGGCCUUAUGCUUUUGGAGCGGCCGAUAGCUGAUUAGCUAGUUGGUGAGGUAAAGGCUCACCAAGGCGACGAUCAGUAGCUGGUCUGAGAGGACGACCAGCCACACUGGAACUGAGACACGGUCCAGACUCCUACGGGAGGCAGCAGUGGGGAAUUUUGGACAAUGGGCGCAAGCCUGAUCCAGCAAUGCCGCGUGAGUGAAGAAGGCCUUCGGGUUGUAAAGCUCUUUUGUCAGGGAAGAAACGGUAGAGGCUAAUAUCCUGUGCUAAUGACGGUACCUGAAGAAUAAGCACCGGCUAACUACGUG